rnacentral:rRNA from 1 species
AUUGAACGCUGGCGGAAUGCUUUACACAUGCAAGUCGAACGGCAGCACGGACUUCGGUCUGGUGGCGAGUGGCGAACGGGUGAGUAAUGUAUCGGAACGUGCCCAGUCGUGGGGGAUAACGUAGUGAAAAUUACGCUAAUACCGCAUACGAUCUAUGGAUGAAAGCGGGGGAUCGCAAGACCUCGCGCGAUUGGAGCGGCCGAUAUCAGAUUAGGUAGUUGGUGGGGUAAAGGCCCACCAAGCCAACGAUCUGUAGCUGGUCUGAGAGGACGACCAGCCACAAUGAAACUGAGACACGGUCCAAACUCCGACGGGAGGCAGCAGUGGGGAAUUUUGGACAAUGGGCGAAAGCCUGAUCCAGCCAUUCCGCGUGCAGGAUGAAGGCCCUCGGGUUGUAGACUGCUUUUGUACAGAACGAAAAGGUUUCUACUAAUACUAGGAGCUCAUGACGGUACUGUAAGAAUAAGCACCGGCUAACUACGUGCCAGCAGCCGCCGUAA